rnacentral:rRNA from 1 species
UGGGGAAUUUUGGACAAUGGGCGAAAGCCUGAUCCAGCCAUGCCGCGUGCAGGAUGAAGGCCUUCGGGUUGUAAACUGCUUUUGUACGGAACGAAAAGACUCUGGUUAAUACCUGGGGUCCAUGACGGUACCGUAAGAAUAAGCACCGGCUAACUACGUGCCAGCAGCCGCGGUAAUACGUAGGGUGCAAGCGUUAAUCGGAAUUACUGGGCGUAAAGCGUGCGCAGGCGGUUAUAUAAGACAGAUGUGAAAUCCCCGGGCUCAACCUGGGAACUGCAUUUGUGACUGUAUAGCUAGAGUACGGCAGAGGGGGAUGGAAUUCCGCGUGUAGCAGUGAAAUGCGUAGAUAUGCGGAGGAACACCGAGGGCGAAGGCAAUCCCCUGGGCCUGUACUGACGCUCAUGCACGAAAGCGUGGGGAGCAAACAGGAUUAGAUACCCUGGUAGUCCACGCCCUAAACGAUGUCAACUGGUUGUUGGGUCUUCACUGACUCAGUAACGAAGCUAACGCGUGAAGUUGACCGCCUGGGGAGUACGGCCGCAAGGUUG